rnacentral:misc_RNA from 1 species
AGAUUUAUAUAAAUGAAUUAGGAGUAGAGUGAGGUAUUUAUUGAGUUCUUUCGUCGGUUCACAAUUUCUAAAAAUAUGAACCCGAACCAAACCACAAAAGAGCAGUUUUGGUCUAGUUCAAAACCGAUCACGGUUUUGACCGAGCCGGUUCAAGUUUGAUUCUGGUUCAAAACCAAACCAUGGCCACCCCAAGAUGGGAGUUUCUUCAAGCAAAUUCUCUGUCCUUAUGAUGGCUCAGCUGUAUUUUUCUCUUGCAACAUGUGUCAAUGUUGGGCAAAGACCUUUUUCUUCUUUUU